CAACAGGGAUUGCCCUAGUAACGGCGAGUGAAGCGGCAACAGCUCAAAUUUGAAAUCUGGCUCUUUCAGGGUCCGAGUUGUAAUUUGCAGAGGGCGCUUUGGCUUUGGCAGCGGUCCAAGUUCCUUGGAACAGGACGUCACAGAGGGUGAGAAUCCCGUACGUGGUCGCUAGCUAUUGCCGUGUAAAGCCCCUUCGACGAGUCGAGUUGUUUGGGAAUGCAGCUCUAAAUGGGAGGUAAAUUUCUUCUAAAGCUAAAUAUUGGCCAGAGACCGAUAGCGCACAAGUAGAGUGAUCGAAAGAUGAAAAGCACUUUGGAAAGAGAGUCAAACAGCACGUGAAAUUGUUGAAAGGGAAGCGCUUGCAGCCAGACUUGCUUGCAGUUGCUCAUCCGGGCUUUUGCCCGGUGCACUCUUCUGUAGGCAGGCCAGCAUCAGUUUGGGCGGUGGGAUAAAGGUCUCUGUCAUGUACCUCUCUUCGGGGAGGCCUUAUAGGGGAGACGACAUACCACCAGCCUAGACUGAGGUCCGCGCAUCUGCUAGGAUGCUGGCGUAAUGGCUGUAAGCGGCCCGUCUUGAAACACGGACCAAGGAGUCUAACAUCUAUGCGAGUGUUUGGGUGUCAAGCCCGAGCGCGUAAUGAAAGUGAACGGAGGUGGGAACCCGCAAGGGUGCACCAUCGACCGAUCCUGAAGUUUACGGAAGGAUUUGAGUAAGAGCAUGGCUGUUGGGACCCGAAAGAUGGUGAACUAUGCUUGAAUAGGGUGAAGCCAGAGGAAACUCUGGUGGAGGCUCGCAGCGGUUCUGACGUGCAAAUCGAUCGUCAAAUUUGGGCAUAGGGGCGAAAGACUAAUCGAACU
rnacentral:rRNA from 1 species